GUCGUCGCUUUUAUUGGGCCUAAAACGUCCGUAGCCUGUUUGGUAAAUCUGUGGGUAAAUCAACCAGCUUAACUGGUUGAAUUCUGCAGAGACUGCCAGACUAGGGACCGGGAGAGGUGUGGGGUACUCUAGGGGUAGGGGUAAAAUCCUGUCAUCCUUAGAGGACCACCAGUUGCGAAGGCGCCACACUGGAACGGAUUCGACGGUCAGGGACGAAGCCUAGGGGCACGAACCGGAUUAGAUACCCGGGUAGUCCUAGGUGUAAACGCUGUGAACUUGGUGUCGGGGAUCCGUCAUGGGUCCCCGGUGCCGGAGUGAAGAUGUUAAGUUCACUGCCUGGGGAGUACGGUCGCAAGGCUGAAACUUAAAGGAAUUGGCGGGGGAGCACUGCAACGGGAGGAGCGUGCGGUUUAAUUGGAUUCAACGCCGGAAAACUCACCAGGGCCGACUGUUAGAUGAAGACCAGUGUAACGAACUUGUCGGAUUUUCAGAGAGGUGGUGCAUGGCCGUCGUCAGUUCGUACUGUAAAGCGUUCUGUUAAGUCAGAUAACGAACGAGACCCUCAUCUCUAUUUGCUACCUGUCUCUCCGGAGACAGCGCACUAUAGAGAGACCGCUGGUGUUAAACCAGAGGAAGGCGAGGGCAACGACAGGUCAGUAUGCCCCGAAUGUCCUGGGCUACACGCGCGCUACAAAGGACGGGACAAUGGGAAGCCAGGCCGAGAGGCCGAGCUAACCCGAAACCCGUUCGUAGUUCGGAUUGAGGGCUGUAACUCGCCCUCAUGAAGCUGGAUUCCGUAGUAAUCGUGUUUCAAAAUAGCACGGUGAAUAUGCCCCUGCUCCUUGCACACACCGCCCGUCAAACCAUCUUAGUUGGGGGUGGGUGAGGCUGCGCUUCAUGGCGUAUUCGAGCCUGCCUUCGACAAGGAGGGUUAAGUCGUAACAAGGUAUCUGUAGGGGAACCUGCAGAUG
rnacentral:rRNA from 1 species